UAGGGAAUCUUCCACAAUGGACGCAAGUCUGAUGGAGCAACGCCGCGUGAGUGAGAAGGGUUUCGGCUCGUAAAGCUCUGUUGUUAAAGAAGAACGUGGGUAAGAGUAACNGUUUACCCAGUGACGGUAUUUAACCAGAAAGCCACGGCUAACUACGUGCCAG
rnacentral:rRNA from 1 species